rnacentral:lncRNA from 1 species
AAGAAAUGAGUAAAUAGAAUAAUAAUGUAAAAAUAAUUCCUAAUUAAAAUUAAGUUAAUCUUUUAACUUAAGUAAAAUUAGGGUUAGUUUUAUUUCUCCCCUAUUUUUCUUUUCUUCUCUUUUUUCUUCUUUCAACCGUCACCCACCUCACCUCCGCCAUCACCACCAGCUUGGUGCGAUCUGAACAACAUCAACGCAGCCUCCAGCAGCAGGCCCUUGCGCACUGUCGCGCAUCAUCAGCCACUAUCGGCCAAUUACAGUAGUCCUCGUGCACUCUUGGCCUCUGUCGAUCAGGCCAUCAUUGGCCUCUGUCGAGUGCAAUCAGCCACCAUUGGCCUCUGUCAGGUGAAUCCCAGCGAGCCCUGUCGAUCACCGUCGAUAGAAACCAGACGCCAUCGGAAGUAAUUGAGCCAUGUUCACCAGCAGUCGACGGCAUCAGGAGGUUUUUUCGGCAAUCCCCUUAGUGAUUGUGGCUGACCCCUCAACAUUCGACAAAAACUAAUUGCUUCCCCUAACCUAUCUUGAGGUAAUUGUGGGAUUUAAUUUUUUCUACUAAGUGGUUCUUAUCUUGGUUAUUUUUGAAGAUGAAUCGAAAAAAGAAUAAUUCGGAGAUUCAAGAGGAAGAGUUUCAACCUUGGUUCUAAACCCCAGGAAUAAGGGCCAGAUACAUCAGAAUAUUUAAGAAGAAAUCCCUAUUUCUAGAAAAGGGUUUUCAACUCGAUAGUGAGUAUUAUGUACCAACACUCAUCCAGGACAUCAUUGAGAAACGAGGGUGGAAAUUUCCAUGUGAUAUACGGUCUUCUCCUUAUGACAGCCACAGACAGUGAUGGGUCAAUAAAUAAAUAAGGGGGUUUUCUUUAUUUAAAAACAUUUCUUAUUAGUUGAUAGUUUUUAGAACAUUACUUUUACUUUUAUUUUUGUUUUAAUUUUUUGCAAAACAUUGUUCUGCUUAAGUUUGGGGGCGUCGUGCCUCAAAUUUUUUUUUUUCAAGUGUUGUAGAAGAUGAAUUCGUGCAGGAAGGCAGAAAAGUGGAAAAAAAAAGCUCAAAACCAAUCGAGCAUAAUAUGUUAGUUCAAAACCAAGU